GAGGGACAGGACUGGCACACUGAUAGCUCUUUCUCGAUUCUGUGGGUGGUGGUGCAUGGCCGUUCUUAGUUGGUAAAGUGAUUUGUCUGGUUAAUUCUGAUAAUGAAGGAGACUCUGGCAUGCUAACUAGUUAUGUGACCCCCGAGCAAAAAAGAAAAGAAAAUUCAGUGAAGACAUAACAAUCUUUUCAACAAAUUGGUGCUGAAACAUCUGGAUAUCCCCAUGCAGAAGAAUGAAACUGGACUCCUACUUUAUAAAAAAAAUUAACUCAAUAAAAGGGUUAAAACUAUAAUACUCCUUGA
rnacentral:ncRNA from 1 species